ensembl:lncRNA
UCAGUACCAAUGGGGGUACCACCACUUGCAGAUCACCGACUUCCCUAAAGUGGGGGAUAAAGCAUGCACAUCUAAGAGCAGGGGCCUCGUUAGGCGUGGGCCAACACAUGGUACUCCAUGACUACAUGAUGUCACAGACUUCCAUUAUGAUGCUGAUGUCAUGUCAUCGAAGAGCCCUGGUCAAAAGUAGUGUACUCUAAAGGGAAGAAGUAUUUUAUAACUUGAAUCAUUUAAAGACACUAACAAUGGACCUGUCACAGCACUUUCAAUUACUUGUUUUCUUUAGCUGCACCACAUUUCAAAUAAUAACAGACUAUCUCCAUUAUCUGAGCCAGUUUGGACUCCUCCACCUCAUUCCUCUGGACCAGAUAUCCUGCAAUGUGUUCAGCAGUGUUCCAAUGGAUGUUCUGUGUUCUUGGCUGACCAGCCAGAUGAAUGGAGGACCUCCCAUGUUUGGAGUGGAUCCCUCCCAGAACCAGGGACAAUGGCAACAUUUACACCUGAGUACGCCUCCCUCUUCAUGUCAGAACCCAACACAGCUCCAGCCACUAUCCAGUCCAGCUAUAGCCAUAAUAAAAACGACUUCAUGGACUGGAUGGAGGGGCCCCAGAAGGACAGUAACAACAUCGGUCUAUGUGAGAAUAAAUACUCCAGUCAUCAGGAUGAGCAACCCAUGGAUGUUGAUGUUGUGGACAACAUUCAAUCAGGGGGUGUGACCAAGACAACCGCCCGGCUCUACCCAUCAAAACCUGCUACUCGUUGGUCAUUCUCCCGUCAGAACAAGUUGGAAUGUUGGUCAUACAGCCGGAGAACCCGUAGCAAGGCAACCACAAACCAGACACCAACUGUCACACCCUGAUUCCUUCUGAACCUCUGCCUGUCCCCCGACCACGUACCUGCCUGCCGCCCGUCUAAAUAAACCCUCCAUUUUGGCAUGCAUCUUUGAUUGCAGUUCAGUAUUCUUUUGUAAUUUCCAUAUGGUUAAUCUGCACACUAAAAACCUGACAUUAUCUUUUGUAAUAAGAAACUAUAAUAUUUGAAUACAUUUUUUGUAUUUAUAAUAACACAAACACACAUGAUAAAAUGCCUAAUUUAUUUUAUAAUAAAGAUACACUAACAGUAAAGGUUAACUCAAUGUCUUUAGAACAUUCCCUGACAAAAUGUGUUUUUCUCCUCUGGAGCAUGUGUAUCACAAAACCUGUUCUGUUCCACAUAAAGUGAACUAUCCUGUG